UACGGGGGGGGCAAGCGUUGUUCGGAAUUACUGGGCGUAAAGGGCGCGUAGGCGGUUGGAUAAGUCAGCUGUGAAAACCACGGGCUUAACUCGUGGCCUGCAGUUGAGACUGUCUGGCUUGAGUGUGGGAGAGGAGAGUGGAAUUCCUGGUGUAGCGGUGAAAUGCGUAGAUAUCUGGAGGAACACCGGUGGCGAAGGCGGCAUCCUGGACCGAGAUUGACGCUGAGGCGCGAAAGCCAGGGGAGCAAACGGG
rnacentral:rRNA from 1 species